AUAUUAAAGUUGUUGCAGUUAAAAAGCUCGUAGUUGGAUUUCUGUUAAUAAUUUAUAUAAAAUAUUUUGAUGAAUAUUUAUAUAAUAUUAACAUAAUUCAUAUUACUAUUUUUUUUUUUAGUAUAUGAAAUUUUACUUUGAGAAAAUUAGAGUGCUUAAAGCAGGCAUAUGCCUUGAAUACUCCAGCAUGGAAUAAUAUUAAAGAUUUUUAUCUUUUUUAUUGGUUYUAAGAUAAGAAUAAUGAUUAAUAGGGACAGUUGGGGGCAUUUGUAUUUAACAGUCAGAGGUGAAAUUCUUAGAUUUGUUAAAGACAAACUAAUGCGAAAGCAUUUGCCAAGGAUGUUUUCAUUAAUCAAGAACGAAAGUUAGGGGAUCGAAGACGAUCAGAUACCGUCGUAGUCUUAA
rnacentral:rRNA from 1 species